UUUUUUAUAUGUUAAUUAUGUUUUUGAAUUGAUAACUACAACAUCUAUUUUGUUAACUUAUUAUAAGAGCCUAAGUAUGCAUGUAGUGUACAUUUAUAUCUCCCCAAUGUUUUUGCUGCUACAAGUUUAGUUCUCCCUACUUGCAAAUUUUACGGAGGUGUUGUGCCUUAGCCGUUUUCAAUCAGUUUGUAAUUGAACUAGGGGGUAGAUGCUACGUUUAACUUUUCUAAUUAUGUAGACAUGCUAUUUGUACUAUUUUUUUUCAUAUGUUGCUCUUAACCAACAAUUGCAAGUUUAGAUUUAUGUAUAUGCAAGUUUAGUUCGUAUGAAGAAAUUUUUUAAUCUCUGAUUUUAGGGUGGUUUUCUGCUCUACUUGUAGUUCGACAACUUGUAUUACAAACAGGCGCAAUUUUACUUCUUAUGAUUAAAUUUUCAAUUUCUGCCUUUAGGUGGGUGUUCUGCCUUUCUUGUAGUUCAACAUUUUUUGUACAAGUACAAACAUGUUAUUUUUUAGUGUAGUAUGAAUUUGUAUUGUUCAAUUCUCUGAAUUUCUGACAGCAAAUGUACAUUCAAGUGUUCACGCUAUUUUUUUCUAUUUCUGGUUACAUCAUUUUUUUGCUGGGCACUAAAGAGAUAGAAUAUAACUUUUCUAAUUAUGUGUUGUUGUUGAACAACUACUACAAGUUUAGUUCUCCCUACUUGCAAAAUUUACCGAGGUGUUCUGCCUUAGCUGUUUUCAAACAUUUUGUAAUUGAACUAGGGGGGUAGAUGUUACGUUUAACUUUUCUAAUUAUGUAGACAUGCUAUUUGCACUAUUUUUUUAUGUUGCUCUUGACCAACAAUUGCAAGUUCAGAUUUAUGUAUAUGCAAGUUUAGUUCAUAUGAAGAAAUUUUUUAAAUUCUGAUUUUAGGGUGGUGUUCUGCUCUACUUAUUCAACAACUUGUAUUACAAACAGGCGCAAUUUUACUUCUUAUGAUUAAACUUUCAAUUUCUGCCUUUAGGUGGGUGUUCUGCUUUUCUUGUAGUUCAACAUCUUUUAGUACAAGUACAAACAUGUUGUUUUUAGUCAUAAGUUAUAGUAUGAAUUUGUAUUGUUCAAUUGUUUGAAUUUCUAACAGCAAAUGUGUAUUCUGGUGUUGUCACUAUCUUUUUCUAGUUCCAGUUACAUCAUUUUUUGCUGGGCAGUAAAGAGACAUAAUAUAACUUUUCUAAUUAUUUGUUGUUGUUGAACAACUACUACAAGUUUAGUUCUCCCUACAAGAACUUUGGGCAAUCGGAGGAGAAGGACGUAGCAUGGAAGAAAUGGAGAGGAUGGAGAUCUAUCGAGACACAAGAGGGCGGAAGUAUCUGAGUUUUGUUCAGGCGUCCAUGGUGGCGCUGGUGAUGGGGGAAGGAGGGACAAGGAAGAAGACCUAGUUAUAUGUCCGUGAGCUGGAUCCAGAUCUCUGAAGGUAGUGGGUUUGGUUUCUUAGCAGGGUCAGGCCCGUUUAAUUUUGGGUUGUAUAGAUGGCAAAACAUCAAAAGGGGUUUCAGCGCUGGAUCAGUGAUGUUUUUUUUCUUUUGGGCUGAUUCGACUGACGCUUAGUUCGGGUCAGGCAAUUUUCUUUUGCUUUCCAUCAUUCUGCUCUUCUUUAGGAAUCGACUGACACAAUUGUAGAGUCAGUCGAUUGACUUGUAGCCGCUCCCUUUCUUCGCCGGCCUCAUCGCCUCGCGAAGCCCCCGCGUCAGACCUCAACUUGCUUCUGCUGACGCCAUC
rnacentral:lncRNA from 1 species